rnacentral:rRNA from 1 species
GACGAACGCUGGCGGCGUGCUUAACACAUGCAAGUCGAACGAUGAACCCGGAGCUUGCUCCGGCGGAUUAGUGGCGAACGGGUGAGUAACACGUGAGUAUCCUGCCCUUGACUCUGGGAUAACUGCGGGAAACUGUAGCUAAUACCGGAUACGACCCUCGGCGGCAUCGCCAGGGGGUGGAAAGAAUUUCGGUCAAGGAUGGACUCGCGGCCUAUCAGCUAGUUGGUGAGGUAACGGCUCACCAAGGCGACGACGGGUAGCCGGCCUGAGAGGGUGACCGGCCACACUGGGACUGAGACACGGCCCAGACUCCUACGGGAGGCAGCAGUGGGGAAUAUUGCACAAUGGGCGCAAGCCUGAUGCAGCAACGCCGCGUGAGGGAUGACGGCCUUCGGGUUGUAAGCCUCUUUUAGUAGGGAAGAAGCGAAAGUGACGGUACCUGCAGAAAAAGCACCGGCUAACUACGUGCCAGCCGCCGCGGUAA